rnacentral:rRNA from 1 species
CCCUUAGAUGUUCUGGGCUGCACGCGCGCUACACUGAAGCUAUCAACACGUUUUCCCUCCCUGAGAAGGGCGGGUAACCUUUUGAAUCAGCUUCGUGGUAGGGAUCGGGGCUUGCAAUUGUUCCCCGUGAACCAGGAAUUCCUAGUAGACGCGAGUCAUAAGCUCGCAUCGAUUAAGUCCCUGCCCUUUGUACACACCGCCCGUCGCUACUACCGAUUGAACGUUUUAGUGAGGCAUUUGGACCGACGCAUCUCAGUUUAACCGCUGGUUUGUGUUGGAAAGACUUCUAAACUUGAGCGUUUAGAGGAAGUAAAAGUCGUAACA